CCUACGGGAGGCAGCAGUGAGGAAUAUUGGUCAAUGGGCGCGAGCCUGAACCAGCCAAGUAGCGUGAAGGAUGACUGCCCUACGGGUUGUAAACUUCUUUUAUAAAGGAAUAAAGUGAGGCACGUGUGCCUUUUUGUAUGUACUUUAUGAAUAAGGAUCGGCUAACUCCGUGCCAGCAGCCGCGGUAAUACGGAGGAUCCGAGCGUUAUCCGGAUUUAUUGGGUUUAAAGGGAGCGUAGAUGGGUUGUUAAGUCAGUUGUGAAAGUUUGCGGCUCAACCGUAAAAUUGCAAUUGAUACUGGCAGUCUUGAGUACAGUUGAGGUAGGCGGAAUGCGUGGUGUAGCGGUGAAAUGCUUAGAUAUCAUGCAGAACACCGAUUGCGAAGGCAGCUUACUAAGCUGCCACUGACGUUGAUGCUCGAAAGUGUGGGUAGCAAACAGGAUUAGAUACCCGUGUAGUC
rnacentral:rRNA from 1 species